ensembl:lncRNA
AGGUAUUUAAGAAGAGAGUUACGGAGAUGAAAAGUUUCUAUAAAUGUUGAUUGUCCAUUUUGACCUACUUGAAUUUUCUCUAAGCCCAUAUGACUUCAAACCUUAGUUUUCCCUCCCAGCUCCAACCCCUUUAACGUCUCAGUGAUGAACUUCCUUACUCCCUACUCCUUCCCUUCUUUGGUUCCUCUGCAUUCAGCAUGGUGGGUCUUCUUCAUCACUCACUGGGCAUCAGCAAGUGUAUCACUGAAGGCCUAAAGCAAGGUAAUCUUAAUUGUGGAUGGCGCAGUGCAAUAACACAACCUAAUAACACAAACUAGCACAUUCAUUUCAUUAUAAAUAUUGCAGUUUGUGCAUUCCCAAGGCAGGACAUCUUCACUGAAUUAAAGCUAAAAUGUAGUUUUGCAGUAGCAACAUUAUUUCUAUUUUACGGCUUGCAGUUGGAUGAUUCCCAAGAUGGUCUUUAGCUAAAGUUGUAAUUAAGGCAUUAAGAUAUCUGAGAACAGCAGUGAUACAUGCCUGUGACUUGGAAAAGACGUUUAAACUUUUGCUUUCUUUGCAUAUCACUUAGCAAUUGAACUGUUUAUAAAGGAUUGCAGCACAACAAAGUUCAUCAGUAAGACAACUGAUUCCCUCUUAUACAACACUUGCUACAGUCGUAAGGGCACAAAUGCAGUGCCCAACUACCACGAGUGAUGUGACAGACUGGGGGAGAUCACACUUUUCAGCAUGACUGGAGCGAAAGAGUUGUGCCACACCCUGCAGAAAAAAGUCCCAUUUCUGCUCAUGGUGUCUCCUCUUGGUGCAUGUGCUGGUGACUACUUCUGUUACUAUGCGGGCCAGGAAUGAAGUGGCCUUGACCCAUCCAAGAGCACUCUUUUCCAAGACCUCUCAGAAGAAUAAGCAAAAGGUGUGCGAGUGGCAGUGCUUACAUGCUCAUUCUGACGUUGUAAAAAAGAAACAAACAUUAAGUGAUGCAGUGUAACCUUUUGCAUUGCACAGGCAAUCACAUUUCAUCUGAUGCUGGUGCCCCUGUUCCAAACUCAGUGACUUGGGCUUGACUAAAGGAUCCACUUUUGAUCAAACUGUUGCAAGAGACAGUGAAUUCACCCAUGCUAAAGAAUACUCACCUGAUAACAUUAAAAUAAUUAUCCUCACUAUUUUUAUCUUCAAGGCACAACCAGAAGAUUUUUAAUCUAAAUUCAUAGAGCUUUAACUCCAAGCAUUUUUGUUGUAUCUUUCUCAUGCUGGGAUAAUGACAUUUGAUACUGAUGUUUUGUCUCUCUAAUGGUCCUAUUACUUUUCCUAACCUGAGCAUUUAAAACUUCUUAGUCUUCAUGGUCCUUUGUUUGGAAAGUUGUAAUGGAGCCAUAUAUUUCCUUAUGUGUGUUCCUUGAAAAUAAGUGCAACAGCAUCAAAUGUCAAACACCUACACCUGAGAGGAAUUAAACAAAUUUCUUUACUCUCAGCCUCUGGGUAGAGUGCUUUAAAUUGAGUUGCAGCUUUAAACCAAGUCAAGGCUGCCUAAGUACGCUUGUGGUUUUAUCUGAAGCUUAUGUGAUACUCCCUGUAUGCUUCUCUCACCCCUGCUGCUCUUUUAAACAAUCCGAGUCGUGUACGUUUGUAUGGUUAGUAGCUUUUGUGGGAGUUUCAUAAGAGACAAGCUGCUUUUUCCCACUUCUCCGGAUAUUGGAUUAUGAAAUUUCAGCAUUGCAAUAAUGACCUGGGUGUGUUGGAUUGCAUUCACCCUUAAUGUUUUUUAGCUGAAUGAAUUCAAUUUCUGUAGUCUGUACAUGUAAAGAAUGUUUCUGCAUUCUUACUCUCAUUUUGGUGUACUGGAGUCUUCUCCAGAGUCCUCAGUGUCCUUUUCACCAUGUGAAGCAAUCCAUGGCUGGUGCCGUCCGCAGGUAUUGAGUAACAUUCGUUCUCUACACCUCUGAAAAUCAUGAGAUCUUGUUAGAUGUUACCCCUGUUCUCCUGUACUG